rnacentral:tRNA from 1 species
GGGUUCGUAGCUCAGUUGGUUAGAGCGCACGCCUGAUAAGCGUGAGGUCGGAGGUUCGAAUCCUCCCGAGCCCACCA